AAGUACCAAUGGCCGACGCCUGACGUUGAAGCUUCAGCCAUAAAUAAAGCGUCUGUUUUGAUUUUUAAGUAAAUAAUAACAAAAUUGAUUCAGAUCUACAUACAGUUUCCUGCUACUGUAGUUACGUGAAUGUAUGAGCUUCAGCUUUGGGAUUCAUCAAAAUGAUUGUCCAUGUUUCUGCGAGUGAUAAAUGGGCCCGCACUCUGUCGUGUGAUCACCGAUAACACUGGAUGCGAACUUCUCUUCUACCGACCAGCGAAGACCUUUCUUCUACUUGUAAGGAGUAUGCUACUAAGCUCCUGCCUGCUACAGUGUUUGCGGCAGCGGUAUUUCUCCUCAGACAUCUAAACUACUACCCUUCCAGCAAACAUCAGCCCCGUAUUAGAAUUCUCUUUCGUUUCUUAACCCCUUAUACCUUAGUGAUAACUAUACCUGCUUCCGUGUCAGGCCUGCUUGUGAUACUGCGUUCCCAGAAAGAAUAUUUCCCUGAAACAUUUGGCCUUUAGCGACAUAACACAGAAUAAAAUAUCGUGAGAUAUUGUUUAUUUAAAAAUUAUUCAUGCACCUUGAUUUUGGGUUCAUUCGUACCUGAAAAAUUCUAAAAAAAAAUUGCUACUACUUUUUUUAUUAAUUAUUCGUUAUAUUAUUAUUAAUACACAAUGAGCCCGUAUAGUGACAGGCUACAGAUUAAAAGAUCUGAUGUCGAUUUACCUAUCUUUAGUCACCACGUACACGCUUACUCUGCAGCUAACCCAGCAUCGUAUCCAAUAGUUACCAGCUGUUCUUUCCCCAGGAACUAAGAAGUGGCAGGAGCAGUCUAGAUUCAAGGUUAAGAAUGCGUGAAGCUUUACCUCCAUUCCUCAUAUAAAUUACUUUCAGAUCAAAGAAAUAAACUUAAGUUUAUUAUUGAAGUUAUUAAUACUGUAUUACUGUAAGCUUGUAUUUUAUAUUAGUAUUAUUACAGAUAAUGUUAAUGCAUGCAGUUAAAUUUCACUUAUUUUACCGUCCAAAAGAGUAAAAUAACAAAAGUAUUGUCAUGUCACUUGGAAUAAAAUUGACCUAUUAACCCUUCAAA